GAUGAACGCUGGCGGCGUGCCUAAUACAUGCAAGUCGAGCGAACGGACGAGAAGAUUGCUUCUCUGAUGUUAGCGGCGGACGGGUGAGUAACACGUGGAUAACCUACCUAUAAGACUGGGAUAACUUCGGGAAACCGGAGCUAAUACCGGAUAAUAUUUUGAACCGCAUGGUUCAAAAGUGAAAGACGGUCUUGCUGUCACUUAUAGAUGGAUCCGCGCUGCAUUAGCUAGUUGGUAAGGUAACGGCUUACCAAGGCAACGAUGCAUAGCCGACCUGAGAGGGUGAUCGGCCACACUGGAACGGAGACACGGUCCAGACUCCUACGGGAGGCAGCAGUAGGGAAUCUUCCGCAAAGGGCGAAAGCCUGACGGAGCAACGCCGCGUGAGUGAUGAAGGUCUUCGGAUCGUAAAACUCUGUUAUUAGGGAAGAACAUAUGUGUAAGUAACUGUGCACAUCUUGACGGUACCUAAUCAGAAAGCCACGGCUAACUACGUG
rnacentral:rRNA from 1 species